GGUUUUGCCAGCCUAGUGGCCUGGAGCUCCUUGUUAGCUGCUUUUGGGCAGUGGACAUUCAGCGCAUUUGCCUGAAGCAACAAGUUCUAGGGUGAAGACACGAAGUUGGAGAAGGGCAGCAAGUUCAAGAAACACAAAGUAAAGGAAAAGAAUCUGCUUUUAUUUGAACUCAAGAGAGCCAUAGCCGGACCAGCUGAUCAGAAGACUGUCUGCACCAGGGCAAAACCGUAACAGUGGUAGUUAUACAUUAUGGAGCACAUCUUCCACCGUCAUUAUGUCCUUCCUCCACACUCCCAGGGAUGCUUCUGUGGGGAAGGUACCCAGAUGUUGAACCUGGGCUGCUUGCAGUCCUACUUUAAAUAUUCG